GUUAAAUGCAUUUCUAAUCGCAGUAGACCAUAAGAAAUGUUAAAUUACAAACAGAGACAAUAUCGUUUUUGCCUGAUUCUUUAGUGUGAUCUGCUGUAGCUUCAACAUUGGAAAAUAGUACCCAAAACAGUACCAAAAGUACCCUGGUUCAACUUGAGUAGCUGUUUUAAGAACUCCACCCAGUUCAUGUCAACUGUGUUUCAUUAGGACUAAUUUCAGAGAGGGCUGGAGCCAGCCUCUAAAUCAGUAGCUUUGGUGUCAGAAGGGUUUGGUGUCCAGCAGCCUUGCUACUGAUAUUACUGGCAGGAGCUGGCUUUUGCAGUUGAUUAACUUGCUCUGUGGGUAGUCCUGCCAGAGGCUGCUUGGGUGCUGCUUGGCCACAACACAUCAAGUGAUGCAGGCUCAUGUAGCGCGUCGGCUGGCCUGUCACAGAGGAUGAAGAUAAUGGAAAGGGCACUGCCUUUUCUCUGUGUGGAAAUAGGAGAAAUAACUUGGGACUCCUGGACCUACGUUUAAUAAGUGUGAUAUUUCAUAUGUGCUCUGGAGAGUUGGGGCAGGGGGGAAAGGCUGGGUUGAGAAACCUGGGUGUAAGCAACUUCUAAUGUGGCAUAUUCACAUGCCGAAGUGAAUCAUUCUGGUUCAUUGGGUAAAUAUGUAUUAAAGUAAUUUUCAAAAUACUUCUACACAGCCAAUGAGCUGGAAAGGGUCAGUCCAACCAUGCAUUAUUUUUUAAUGCAUACACUUACUUAUUGAAGAGAAGGAGGAACACAAGAUCUUUCCGGUUAUUUGCCCAGCCAAAGGCAUCUUUAAUUUCUUCUGGCUCUGCACCUGCUUGGAAGGAGAGUCAGAACUGCUCAUGCCUGGCCUUGGGAGUGCUCAGUGAAGGGGUCCAGAUCUACUGCAACGGGACAAGGACUAUAACUGCAUCUUGCCCUCUCACCAUAUUUUGCAUGAAAUCUUGUGAGAUGGAAGGCCUUGGAGCAAGCCCAAGGAAAAUGGGUAAGACCCUGUUGUUUUGAGAAUGUUUCUAGGACUGAGCAUGAGCACAAACUCAGUGGCUUGGUGUUGAUUUUUUCGGGUGUGCAGAGCAGGACUAGAGCACCUGGAAACUUCCUAGCACCAUAGUGUAGAACCUGAUGAAUUCUGAUGAGCUGCGGUUACGCAGCAGAUGUGUGAUGGUUUUUCAGGAUCAUGGUAGAAAUUCCUUGUUUAAAUUCCUACUAGUUACAUCGUUAGGAGCCUAAAUUCAGUUUUGGAUGACAAUAUAAUGUGGAUGGAAGCCUUGUUUUUAAGGUUCAUUGCAGGAAAUUUGGAGUCAGUAGCAGAA